CCUACGGGGUGCAGCAGUAGGGAAUUUUCGUCAAUGGGCGCAAGCCUGAACGAGCAAUGCCGCGUGAACGAGGAAGGUCUUCGGAUCGUAAAGUUCUGUUGAAGGGGAAAAGAGCGGAGAGAGGAAAUGAACUCCGAUUGAUAUUACCCUUCGAGGAAGUCACGGCUAAAUACGUGCCAGCAGCCGCGGUAAUACGUAGGUGGCGAGUGUUAGCCGGAAUGAUUGGGCGUAAAGGGUGCGUAGGCGGCCUGCUAAGUCUGGAGUGAAAGGUACCGGCUCAACCGGUACGGGCUCUGGAAACUGGCGGGCUAGAGGGCAGGAGAGGGCGGUGGAACUCCAUGUGUAGCGGUAAAAUGCGUAGAUAUAUGGAAGAACACCAGUGGCGAAGGCGGCCGCCUGGCCUGUUACUGACGCUGAGGCACGAAAGUGUGGGGAGCAAAUAGGAUUAGAUACCCGAGUAGUC
rnacentral:rRNA from 1 species